GAGACGCUGGCCGGCUGGCUUCCUCCUUAAGUCGAACGGUUGCAGGUCUUCGGAUGCUGACUAGUGGCGAACGGGGGAGUAAUACAUCGGAACGUGCCUGGGGGUGGGGGAUAACUACUCGAAAGAGUAGCUAAUACCGCAUGAGAUCUACGGAUGAAAGCAGGGGACCUUCGGGCCUUGUGCUACCAGAGCGGCUGAUGGCAGAUUAGGUAGUUGGUGGGGUAAAGGCUUACCAAGCCUGCACUCUGUAGCUGGUCUGAGAGGACGACCAGCCACACUGGGACUGAGACACGGCCCAGACUCCUACGGGAGGCAGCAGUGGGGAAUAUUUGACAAUGGGCGAAAGCCUGAUCCACCAAUGCCGCGUGCGGGAUGAAAGCGCUCGGGUUGUAAACUGCUUUUGUACGGAACAAAAAGCGUGGGGCCAAUACCCCCUGGUCAUGUCGGUACCGUAAGAAUAAGCACCGGGUAUCUACGUGCCACCACCCGCGGUAAUACGUAGGGGGGCAAGCGUUAAUCUGAAAUAUCUGGGGCGUAAAACGUGCGCAUGCGGGUUUUCUAAAACAAUGGUGAAAUCCCCCGGGCUCAACUGGGAACAGCCCUUGCGAAAUGCAAGGCAUAAGUGCGGCAAAAGGGGAGGAAUUCUCCUUGGUGCCCGGAAAUCGUUAAUUUCGGAGAGAAACCCUUGGGGAAGCGAACCCCUGGGCCUGCACUGACACCUUUGACGGAAGACUGGGGGGACACCGGAUUAAAUCCCUGUGAUCCACCCUAACAAGUAACGGGUGUUUGGCUCCUGGACCUACGACCUCACCUGAAUAUGCCCCCGGGGAACGCGCCCGGGUAAAUCAAGAGUUUGCCGGCCGCCCC
rnacentral:rRNA from 1 species